CCAUCCUGAGAAUAAGUGACCUCCUGUCACUCCUUAGCCAGAAGUUAAAGUUGGAAAAUAACAGGGCAUCCCACAGGGAUGGGAUAGGAGGCAGAGAGGCUUUCUGUAUUCUGCCCUGGUUUUGCCCUUCCUUCACUCUUUCUCUUCUGUUUACGUGAGGAGGAUAUUGAUUCCAGAAGUGACAGUGGCAAGGAGCUGAUGGCAGCUUCACUUCUCUCCCAGCUCAGUGACAGUAUACCAGCCCAGAGGUGCUGAAGAUAACUAUUACUUUCAAGAACUGAAGGAUGUGAGAGAGAUCUGAGUGCAAGUUCUGGCUACAUCUGACAGGGACAGUCACCAGAACCAGAGCAGAGCGGGAACAACCAGCAGAAAAGACAAACAGAGCCACCAAGUGUUUUCAACCAUGCCCUGCUGUGACUUGUUUCUACAGGACCCUAGGAAGCUGCAGUACCACCCUGACACCAGCUGCAUACAUGUUACUCCAUAGGAUACUGUUUGCACCUUUUCUGACAAAAUGUUUAGUGUUUCCAUUCUCCCAAGUCUCCGCACAGGAAGCUUGGCAUAAAUUUGCUUCUUAUUCUCUGGAGAAGGUGUGAGCCACAUAACUAAAAUGCUCUUUACACAACACUAUUAAAAAAUAACAACAAAACCCCAAACCAAAACAAAAAACAGCACAAAACUUGCCAAAGCAUAUUUAAAUCUGGCUUUAUUUUUCAUUCCUGCUAUUUCCUAGGGAUGAAAUAAUGCUUUUAAUGCUGUGGUUGCAGAUGGUUCUGGAGUGUGUGAGUCCCAGAGAUGCUCAGGGAACAAACUUUGUUGCAUGAACAUGUCAAGUCCAAGAACCCUCUAGAAUAAGUAAGUCCAAGGACCCUCUAGAGUAAGUGGCCAGGCCACAGGUUUGAUUCAUUGAUUUGUUACAGGUCAAAGAGAAGCUAAUUGUGCGACACUGGGCAGGAUGUAUCAUCAUUACCAUUAUUCAUGUUUAGCGUGCCAGUGUCUUGAGACCAGCCAUGGAUGAAUCCUUCUACAAGAUUUUCUGACAGGCCCUGAAUCAUGGAAGUUACGGUUCAAUAGCCAGAGACAAGGUUGGGAAAAACAUCUAGCACACACAAUAUUCAUUCAUAGUGAUCUCAGAGUGCUUUAUUUUAUUUCUGUCUUUCUGUGUGUAGGUUAAAUAAGCAUGGGUGUGAUAAAUGGAAAAGUGAAUGCAGAAUAGAUGAGAAAGAGCAGAUGAGAAGAACAAAAGAACCAAAGGGACAAAAUACAUGUUUUAAAGAACUGACUUUCUCUUUAACCUUGAGACCCUAUGUUUUCACCAAGCCUAGAAUCCAGUCCACAUGUUCCCACACACAUUCUCCAGUCACAGCCCAAUCCACCUCGGCAGGGCUUGAGGAAGUUGCUGCAUGAGAGAUACAGGUUGUCUGUCAGUUUGCAGGUUUAUAAAUUGUUCUGCCUGUUUAGACCUUUCAUCCAGACAUGGGAACACAGCUCCCAGUUUGAUUUCUAUUACUGGCAAGUAUCCAUCCUCCAGUCCCAUCUGUUAUGCUUAGCCUGCCUGACACACGCAGCAGACUCAGUCCUGAGGGCAGGCUGACAAGGGGCUGGUGCACGCUUGCAUUUCCUAUCAGUGACUGAAAUGUAUACACCAGUAUUUUCUGUGGAUGGGAAAUGUGAGAGCACCCAAAUGUCAGGAAGAGGUUUGACGUCAAUACUUCUGAACAUUGAUACCCCACAGACAGGAUAGGAACACCAUUUGGACCUUUUCUUGUAAUUCUACUCUUAAUCCUGACUCCAAAACAGGUCUCCUCUCAUCAUGUUUAGGAGCUGUUGGGGUACUUCCAAAUUCUCUUCUCUGCUAUCUGGGAAUGUUCAGUGAGUUUCCCCCUUUUGUACUUUUUGGGUGCAAAUGGAAUUAGAGAAAUACACAGGAGUAUUCAUCAACUUUGAGUUUCAUCAGUUUUCAGCUUCCACCUUCUUGGACAAUUCAGUUUCUUAUGACCCUUCCUUUUGCCUCAACUACCAGUACCAUUUACCUGAUGAAGAUUUGUUAAUGUUGAAGAUUUACUUCUGGCCCUCAGAUUGAUUGUGAAGAGGUCUUAUGCUGUCUUUAACCAUUGCACGAGCAACUGUGUCUUGAAGUGCUGAAAGUGAUCUGGAGAAGUCAGCUGGUGAAAGCACUUUUCACCACAGCUGGUGAAAGCACUUCUACUGAGACCUGAGAAAUGAGACACUUAACUCUUGUAGUAGUAUAAGAGCAGUAUUAGAAAGACUGAAAAAACAAGUGAUAAUAGACCAACAAGCAGAAAAAUGACAUCUUUCUUCAGUUGAGUUCUGAACAAGAUACUGAAAGUAUAGUGUGGAGGAAACUGAAUGGACGAGCCAACAUCCAAAUAUAAUGUCCAGUGAUAUGACACUAACUGAACAAAGGUAUUGUUAGUGAUUGCAACAUUUUUAUGUACUAAAUGUAUGGAUAUUUAUCUGAUUAAAACAAUGUAAAGUAGGUGUGUGAUAGAAGAUUGUGAUGAAGGAGAACACAUUAUGCAAUGUAGACAAGAUUAAACAUAUAUAUUUACAUAUACAUAUACACAUAAAGAAAAAGCUUCUUUGAACAUGAGUUGCUGGACAGCCAGCCCCCACCUUGUGCUGCUUGAUCACUGGCACAAAGUGCAUCUGUAGCUUUUCCCCAUUGAGUGCUGGUAUGGAGACCUACCCAAUGAACAUGGUGUGCAGCUGAACAGUGCAGUUUUUUGUGGCCAAGUCUGAGGUUAAGACUAGGGUCUGAAAUAACUGACCUGUGACAAGGAUGGAACAUUUCCAGCACAGAGUGCUGACCAAGGGGAACCCUAUGCUGCCAACAUGUUCCAAACACUCACGUUCUGGAAAAGGCUGCCCAGAGCCCAAAAGUUGUCAGACCUGUGAGCCAAAGCCUUUCAAGAAUCCCCAGCUUUUGUUUCUACCCUCCUUACUGUGUGCAUGGUAGCUCCAUAGAUCUGCUGUAUUGCUCAACCUCACAAGGAGACUCUAACCUUCUUUCAUCAAAGCAGCUGAGAACUGGUUUCCACACUGCACCAGCAGAGCAGAGCAGCAGACCUGCACCCAGUGUUUUGUAACGCUGCAGCUAAAUGACACUGUACAGCCAUGUAGCAGGGUUUGCCCCCCAUACUCACUGUAAUGCACUUUUAAAGUACCGAGCUACCAUAAAAAUACCAGUCUAGUUAAAGUAACAAAUAAAAAUUGAGCAGUUUUCCUAGUUGGAUUUGGUGUCUGAUAGCAGCUCUGAACACCACAGUUCCCCCCUGUGGCUGACUAGCAGGGCAGUAUCGCUGAGUUCCACAAAAAAUUUGCACCGCUCAUUGUAUUAAUCAGUUUUGUGCAGGUCAUGGCUCCUUCCACACCUUCUCAUUUGUCACACAGGAAGACAUAUGGCUCUUGCUCAUUACUGCUUUGUGUCUUCCAAAUUCAUGCAUGGAUCCUGUUGCCACACCACUUGCAAGCUGUUGUUUAUUAAAGCAGUGGGACACAGGUGUUUCUUCUGCCUUUGUGCCAGCAUAGGCAAGGGAACCAUGCAGAGAUGGAGCCCAUCUCAUGCUCCACUGCAUUUUCGCUCAUAAGCUCUUUGUGUUUUGUGUGGCCUCCACAGACACUUGCAAACCAGGUUGCUGAUUAGAGGAAAAAAUCCCCCUUCUUCUGAGUGAGUUCUGCCAGGUAAUCAGAGCGGGUCACAGGAGCAUUAAAAACAUCCUGUGGUUCUGCAUUUCUGUGCAGAGUGGCUGGUGGACAAUCACAGAGGAAGGAGUCAAUGACUCCAUGUCUUCUGAAAGUAUUGUGCCUCCAGAAAAGUCUGUCAAAUGAGUAAUAACCGAAGAAGAACAAGAGAUCCACAGAAACACCAGGAAGAAGUACUAUGUCACUCUGUCACCUCCACCCCUAGCAGGUCAUUGGAUUCAGUAAGUUUUCAAGGUUAGAGCUCUUCUUUUCUUUGCCAGGGGGAAUUCUCCUUGCUGAGGGAAAUAUGUGGCAGUGGUUCAGGAUGAUGUCUGUGGGAUUUAAUGUGCUUUGUCUUUCUCAUGGUUUCUCUAAAGCCCAAACCAGUGACUGUCUUGAGAAAACAAUCAGAACCUGCAGUGCUGCAUCAAAAAUGCCAAUUACACAGGGUAGUGGGAAGGAAGAGAGAACAUGAUGGGGAAAAGGAAUACUGAGAAGAAUGCAAGAUGAAAUGGAUUACCUUGCUGACAGACCUGAACAGUUCCAGCCCAAAUGUUACGUUUUAUGUACUCUCAACAGGGUAUGCUACAGGGGAGGAAAUCCAGCUCUAAUGGCAGAUAUUUUCUAUGGUUUCACAAGGUAUUUUGACUCUGUUGGUCUAGAUUUUAUACAACAGCCUGUCUAAUGAAGUAGUUCUGCAGUCCUUUCCAACAGUUUUGAAGUACAGCAUGUGUUGAUUAUCUCAGUUGAAUGGAUCUGAGUUCAUUUAUAAGUUUCUUUGUUUUGCCUUUUUUUUUUCACUUCUUUGUUCCUCCCUUCUCUGUCUAAAGUGCACAAAUUGUUUGUAGAAGGAAAAAAACAUAUAAACAGUGUGAUUCAGUACAAUAAAGA